UGCUUGCUUCCGCAGCAAUGGAUUAAAAUUGAAACGAUACAGAGAAGGUUAGCAUGGUCCCUGUGUAAUGAUGACACGAAAAUAACCACCGACUCUU
ensembl:snRNA U6 U6 spliceosomal RNA